UACGAAGGGGGCGAGCGUUGUUCGGAAUUACUGGGCUUAAAGCGUGCGUAGGCGGAUGUGUAAGUCAGGAGUGAAAUCCCGGGGCCUAACCCCGGAACUGCUCUUGAGACUGCACGUCUGGAAUUCGGUAGAGGUCAGUGGAACUCCCAGUGUAGAGGUGAAAUUCGCAGAUAUUGGGAAGAACACCGGUGGCGAAGGCGACUGACUGGGCCGAUAUUGACGCUGAGGCACGAAAGCGUGGGUAGCAAACAGG
rnacentral:rRNA from 1 species